rnacentral:rRNA from 1 species
UACGUAGGAGACAAGCGUUGUCCGGAAUUACUGGGUGUAAAGCGCGUGUAGGCGGUAGGCCAAGUCUGCUGUGAAAUCGCCCGGCUCAACUGGGCGCGGUCGGUGGAAACUGGUCAACUGGAGGACGGUAGAGGCGAGUGGAAUUCCUGGUGUAGCGGUGAAAUGCGCAGAUAUCAGGAGGAACACCGGUGGCGAAGGCGGGUCUCUGGGCCGAUACUGACGCUGGAGGAGCGAAAGCGUGGGUAGCAAACAGG